rnacentral:rRNA from 1 species
GCAGCAGUGGGGAAUAUUGCACAAUGGGCGAAAGCCUGAUGCAGCAACGCCGCGUGAGGGACGAAGGCCUUCGGGUUGUAAACCUCUUUUAGUAGGGAAGAAGCGAAAGUGACGGUACCUGCAGAAAAAGCACCGGCUAACUACGUGCCAGCAGCCGCGGUAAUACGUAGGGUGCAAGCGUUGUCCGGAAUUAUUGGGCGUAAAGAGCUCGUAGGCGGUUUGUCGCGUCUGCUGUGAAAACCCGAGGCUCAACCUCGGGCCUGCAGUGGGUACGGGCAGACUAGAGUGCGGUAGGGGAGAUUGGAAUUCCUGGUGUAGCGGUGGAAUGCGCAGAUAUCAGGAGGAACACCAAUGGCGAAGGCAGAUCUCUGGGCCGUAACUGACGCUGAGGAGCGAAAGCAUGGGGAGCGAACAGGAUUAGAUACCCUGGUAGUCCAUGCCGUAAACGUUGGGAACUAGAUGUGGGGACCAUUCCACGGUCUCCGUGUCGCAGCUAACGCAUUAAGUUCCCCGCCUGGGGAGUACGGCCGCAAGGCUAAAACUCAAAGGAAUUGACGGGGGCCCGCACAAGCGGCGGAGCAUGCGGAUUAAUUCGAUGCAACGCGAAGAACCUUACCAAGGCUUGACAUAUAGAGGAAACGGCUGGAAACAGUCGCCCCGCAAGGUCUCUAUACAGGUGGUGCAUGGUUGUCGUCAGCUCGUGUCGUGAGAUGUUGGGUUAAGUCCCGCAACGAGCGCAACCCUCGUCCUAUGUUGCCAGCACGUAAUGGUGGGAACUCAUGGGAUACUGCCGGGGUCAACUCGGAGGAAGGUGGGGAUAACGUCAAAUCAUCAUGCCCCUUAUGUCUUGGGCUUCACGCAUGCUACAAUGGCCGGUACAAAGGGCUGCAAUACCGUAAGGUGGAGCGAAUCCCAAAAAGCCGGUCUCAGUUCGGAUUGAGGUCUGCAACUCGACCUCAUGAAGUCGGAGUCGCUAGUAAUCGCAGAUCAGCAACGCUGCGGUGAAUACGUUUCCGGGCCUUGUACACACCGCCCGU